rnacentral:rRNA from 1 species
CAAUAGCGUAUAUUAAAGUUGUUGCAGUUAAAAGCUCGUAGUUGGAUUUCUGGUGGGAGUGUUUGGCCGGCUCAAUGAGUCUUGUGCCUAUAUGCUUCUGCCAUCCUUGGGAAACGAUUGCUUGGCAUUAGGUUGUCGAGUUUGGGAUUCCCGAUCCGUUACUUGUGAAAAAUUAGAGUGUUCAAAGCAGGCUUAUGCCGUUGAAUACAUUAGCAUGGAAUAAUAAGAUAGGACCUUGGUACUAUUUUGUUGGUUUGCGUACCUAGGUAAUGAUUAAUAGGGACAGUUGGGUAGUUUCGUAUUCAAUUGUCAGAGGUGAAAUUCUUGGAUUUAUGGAAGACGAACUACUGCGAAAGCAUUUACCAAGGAUGUUUUCAUUAAUCAAGAACGAAAGUUAGGGAGUCGAAGAUGAUUAGAUACCA